rnacentral:tRNA from 1 species
GCCUCGUUAGUCUAGCGGUUAGGACGCUGGCCUCUCACGCCGGUAUCAUGGGUUCGAAUCCCAUACGGGGUGCCA